GGGGUUGUGGCUCAGAGGUAGAGCACUCAUCUACCACGUGUGAGGCCCUGGGUUCAAUCCUCAGUACCA
rnacentral:tRNA from 1 species